UCGUUGUAUAAAUUAUGUCAACUAACGUUUGUUUUUGACAUAAGUGUAUGAAAUUUGAUCAUUUUGAGUAUCCGUAGUCUUGUAUUUACAAGUGUAGUGAGUUAUGUUAGCUAGCUAGAAGUAAGCACACAUUUUUCAGGUUUGCUGCAUAAAGUACCAUUUAACUUUAUGCUAAAAACAAAUGCUGGACAUUUUGUUUUUAUUCUCUACAAAGCUAGCGACGUUACUAGUUAACUUCAAUUAGACGUAUUUUAACAGAUGGCAGGCGCUAGUUAGCUAAAGGUAGCUAGCGAGUAAUAAAAGACUGAAUGCCAUGGCCUGGUCACGCGUCAGGUAAACUUCUUUGGAAUGCAGCCGGUCACUGGGACUGAUUAUGCUGUCGAGCUCGAGACGAGCAGCAAGGACCAUGACAACGACCUCUUGCUGUCACCUGCACAUGAUCGAUCGACUGAUAUAGUUGCUGCUGAGGAAAGUCACUUGCAUUACAAUGUGAAGGAGCUCAUCGCCCCUGUCACUAAGCCAGAGGCCAAUUUGAAGAAGAAGCGAAAGAGAUCAGUGUAGGCGUGGGGGUGGUGCAGGCCCUGGUGAUGCAGAGGGACUCCAGACUCACUCGGGCUCUGGUGCCUGUAGCCAGUCUCCACAUCACGCUGCUGGUGACCCACUUGGCCAGUCAAGAGGAAGUGAACUUGGCAGUGUGUGCAGUGGCCCAGAUGAAGGCAUCGCUGCAGGACCUGCUGCGGGGGCGAGAGCUCAUCCUGCCCUUCCAUAGCAUCGGACACUUCAGGAAGGUGGCGUUUUGUAGAGUUGGCCCAGGGAGAGAACGUUGUCUAACUGGUCCAGAUUGCAGGUCUUGUGAGGAAAACGUUUGAGGAGAAAUGCGUCUCAUCUGGUGACCGCAAAGCCUUCAAGCCUCACCUUAUCUUCAUGAAGCUGUCCAAAACUCCUCAGCUACACAGUCAGGGUUUAAAGAAGCUGUACUCUAACUACGCUCGACACCACUUUGGAAACGAGAGGGUGUUCAGACUGGCCCUCUGCUCAAUGUUGAAGAAAAAGACCCCAGAU